CCAUACGUCACCGCAGUUUCAGACUCGCAGUUGUAGACCCGGAAGUGACGUUACCAUUUCUAGGCAAGGCGAAAACAACGCCUCCAUUUAUCGAACACAGCAAGUGUUAGUUUUUAGCACGAGCGCAGUAUUUUCGAGCACAAACAAAAUAUGACAGAAAACAGCACGUAUGCUCUGCACCUUGUCUUGGAUGCGCCAUUUGACUUCACAGCUGACAAAGGCGUUCACUAAAGG